rnacentral:rRNA from 1 species
UCCGGUUGAUCCUGCCAGAGGUUACUGCUAUCGAGUGUUCGACCAAGCCAUGCGAGUCGAUAUGUACUUCAAUGAACAUGGCGUACUGCUCAGUAACACGUGGACAACCUGCCCUUAGGUCCGGCAUAAACCCGGGAAACUGGGGAUAAUCCCCGAUAACGUCACAGAUGCUGGAAUGCUUUACCGAGAUUAAAAUGCAUCCGGCUGCCCAAGGAUGGGUCUGCGGCCUAUCAGGGUAGUAGUGGGUGUAACGUACCUACUAGCCUACAACGGGUACGGGUUGUGAGAGCAAGAGCCCGGAGAUGGAUUCUGAGACACGAAUCCAGGCCCUACGGGGUGCAGCAGGCGCGAAAACUUUACAAUGCGGGAAACAGCGAUAAGGGAACCUCGAGUGCCAGCAUAUAAUGUUGGCUGUCCAGAUGCCUAAAAAGCAUCUGUUAGCAAGGGCCGGGCAAGACCGGUGCCAGCCGCCGCGGUAACACCGGCGGCCCGAGUGGUAACCGCUAUUAUUGGGUCUAAAGGGUCUGUAGCCGGCCGGAUAAGUCUCUUGAGAAAUCUGGCAGCUUAACUGUCAGGCUUUCAGGAGAUACUGUCUGGCUCGAGGCCGGGAGAGGUGAGAGGUACUUCAGGGGUAGGGGUGAAAUCUUGUAAUCCUUGAAGGACCACCAGUGGCGAAGGCGUCUCACCAGAACGGACCUGACGGCAAGGGACGAAAGCUAGGGGGCACGAACCGGGAUUAGAUACCCGG